rnacentral:lncRNA from 1 species
UAUUCGGAAACAUUGCGUACAUGUCCUGCAUCAACUAAAUCCUUUCCUUUUUUGGUGUUGCUGAUUGAAAUUGGAUAUCAUGGGAAAUAAGACUUGAAUCCAGUAUAAUGUUUAAUAUCCAUUUUGAUAGAAUUCAAACAAAUUACAAUUCAUACAAAUUACAAAUUUUAAUAAGCAAAGCAGUAAGCACACAAAAAAGGAGCGCCUAAAAGGAGGACUUCGCAGAUGUCACCACCCACACGUGAUUUGUGCUGUUGUGUUGCUGUUUGCUUGUUUUGGUUGGUAUAACAUUAACAUAACCUAAGAAAUUAUUUUUUGGCGGACUGUUGAUUCGUAUUUUAAUAAUUAUUGUGGACAGAACAGAAUGGCGUAGAACGCUUGAGAAGGUCGAGGCUCUCUAAGGGCUGUAGCACCAAGAUGAUGAUGAUGAAGAUCAACUAGCCUGCUUGACAUCCUUCAGCCAGGACUCCAUUCAUAUUAACGAGGUUUCUACUUAUGAUUUGAAGUCAGAAAUAAAAUGUAAUGGGUUAAGUGGCAAAAUAAGUGGAGUACAUCAUAAAACAAACUCAAAGAAACUAAACAAUUAGUGAAACCGUGGCUUCGGCCAACAGCGGAUAGACCCGACCAAGUGUAAAUAACACAUUUGCGGCUGGGACACAGUAACUUAACCCAUAUGCGGCACCUCUUUAUGGGAACUGUGCCACCAAUAUGCGAAAAUUGGUCCCAAAGUAUAUAAAGGAAGCCCUAGGAGUAAACAUGAAUGUAAGUUAUCUAAAAGACACUAGAUUAUAUUAUCAGCUAUUGUAACUUUACCUGUAUUACAAUAUGUUUUUAUGUCGCUAAUAUCCCUUGUGGUUGCAGCGUAAAAUAAAUAAAAAAGAAUAUUUGUUUCUAUAGAGUAAUACUAAGAUUACUUAAAAUAUCUUCAAUUUGUGUAAACUGUUUAUCUUAGUCUUCCUAAAAAUUCUUAAGCAUAAAUUAUGUUAUUUUGUUUUUAUCAAAUGUAAUUUUUUGAGCAGAGUUAUCAAAUAUUAAAUUAGAUGUUGGAUCAUAAUUUGAGAAUACAAACCUAUAGUAUGUAGCUAGAAUGUCAGAUUAUAGAUGCUCAUGAUUCUCAAAAACGUACCUUGUAAAAAAAGGAUACAAA